GACGAACGCUGGCGGCGUGCUUAACACAUGCAAGUCGAGCGGUAAGGCCCUUUCGGGGGUACACGAGCGGCGAACGGGUGAGUAACACGUGGGUGACCUGCCCUCAGCUCUGGGAUAAGCCUGGGAAACCGAGUCUAAUACUGGAUAUGACUCCAUGACGCAUGUUGUGGGGUGGAAAGCCUUGUGCGGCUGAGGAUGGGCCCGCGGCCUAUCAGCUUGUUGGUGGGGUGAUGGCCUACCAAGGCGACGACGGGUAGCCGGCCUGAGAGGGCGACCGGCCACACUGGGACUGAGACACGGCCCAGACUCCUACGGGAGGCAGCAGUGGGGAAUCUUGCGCAAUGGGCGAAAGCCUGACGCAGCGACGCCGCGUGAGGGAUGACGGCCU
rnacentral:rRNA from 1 species